UACAUCCUGUUUGUGACAGAGUUGAUCAUGCUGACAAUGGGUCUUACCGGUACAUCCAGUUUGUGAAUUUUGGGUAAACCAUACAGACUAGGAGUGGCCUCACCUGGGUAAAGUCUAUGAUACAGAAUCCGAAUAAUAGCCUUGUCCUGCUCUAAACUUUUCAGGCAAUCUAUUAGUUUCUUCUUGUAACCACUUCCUGGAUCUCUCUUCAGCAUUGGCAGCAUGUAUCAUAGACUUUACCCACUUAAGACUUAAAUAUAGUUUGUCAGCUCGUAGCUCCUGGAGUGGUGAAACUAACCAAACAAGCCGCCCCUAAAUUAUCUGGU